CUUUUUUUUUAUUCUUUUUUAUGUUUUUUUUUGAAAAAGGUUUGGUUUUUUUGGUUUUUUUUGGAAAAUUUAAAAAUUGGUUUUUGAACCGGGUUAAUUCCCAGGUAACCAAAUUUAAUAAUUUCGGGGGAAAAGUUUUGGUUAAACCGAAAAAAUAUUGACUGACUUUAGAUUUUUCUUUGGAAUAUGUGUUUUUGGAAAGCCCUCUUUUUUGGUAAAUUUUAUUGGCACAUGUAUGAUUGUUUAGUUUUUAUGUUAUUUGUGUUGCUUUUUUUGUUUUUUUGCAUUUAAAACAGAUAUAUAUUUGGCUUAUAAAUUUAUUUUUCAUGUAUUACUAUUAUUAAUUUUUUUUGGAUUUAUUUUUUAUUUUAUUUUUGAAAUUGGAAAAGAAAGUAAUUUUUUCUUUAUGUGUUAAUGAAUUUAAUAACUAAAGUGGUACAAACCAUCCGUCAAU
rnacentral:rRNA from 1 species